UACGUAGGUCGCAAGCGAUGUCCGGAUUUACUGGGCGUAAAGAGCGCGCAGGCGGCUGGUCAAGUCCGACGUGAAAGCUCCCGGCUUAACUGGGAAACGGCGUCGGAAACUGAUCGGCUUGAAGGUGGGAGAGGGUAGUGGAAUUCCCGGUGUAGUGGUGAAAUGCGUAGAUAUCGGGAGGAACACCAGUGGCGAAGGCGACUACCUGGCCCAUUCUUGACGCUGAGGCGCGAAAGCUAGAGGAGCGAACGGG
rnacentral:rRNA from 1 species